AUAAAAUCACAGAAUACAUAUGUUGCUGGACUGCAAUUCCCAGCAUUUUCCUCCUCUGGCUUGGCUAGAGCAGCCACGAAUUACUCUUCCUGCCAACCUAAUUUAACAGUUUUAAUGCAACCUCUCUCCUUGAAGAUCCAUGUUUCCAAAUACCUUCUUGUCCCUAGCUCCUGCAGACUUUUCUUCAUAAUGGAAAUCCUUAGAGCAGCCAUUUAUUGAGGUCCUUCCAGAAGUGGAAAGCCUGCUUCCUCUUGUACUGUAAGCAAAUAAAGGACGGGAGUGAUGACAGCUUACCCUGGCUACCUUUCCCUCUGGGAUUCUCCAGUAAGGGAUGCAAGAAAGAAACCACCUUUGAGACUUGAGGAACCACCCUGAAUGAUAAGGAAUAAAGCAACAAGAUUGAAUUAGAAUGCCUUGCAAGAGUGUCUCUGUGUAAUACUAAUAAAUAUUUCAAACUGAUCUCACUCCUCCAUUUCCAAUUAUCUUAAUUAUGUUAUUUGAAAAAGAAAUUAAAACAGUAACUAUCCUGGUAUAUAAGAAGAAAUAAUUACUCCAAAUUCUACAAUUGAUUGAUGACAUUUUUGCUAUAAUGUGCCUCAAAUAACUUCUGACUUAAAAAUGAUACAAUAGUUAACCUGUGAUGGGAUUUUCAUGGGAAUAUUUUUUUGUGGGAGGGCGCUGCCAUUGCUUUCCUCUAAAGCUGAGAGGGAGAGUGACUUGCUCAAAGUGGCCACUAGAUUUCUCUGUCUAAGUAGGAAUCUGAACCCACUCCCAAAGUUCUUGUUCAAUACUAAACAAAACAAGUGACUGCAUUACUUCUUAAGGAAAAACUUAAGGAAGGAGCUGUACUUUUCAGUUGUGUUUGUACUGAAUGCUGAAGAAGGGAACUUUGUUUACCAGAAGUAAGAACUGCAGCAUGAUCACUUUUAAUCAUUAAAAUUUGAAUGUAUGGUUUCAAGAUGAAUAAAAAAAUAAAAUCUU